UCUAAAAUUAAAUCAAAUCUUGAGAGAAAGAAAUAUGAACAUCCAGUUUUUCUUCAUGAAGUAUCACAUCACCCAGGUGUAAGACCUGUAGACGAUGACAUAGGAAAAAGUCUUCAAGACCUAGGGCUUGGUGAAAAGUUCUUAGAAGUGGCACCAAAAGCACGAUCUAUAAAAGAAAAUAAUAAUAAAUUGGAUGUCAUCAAAAUUAAAAACUUUUGCUCUCGGAAAAUCCUGUUAAGAGGGUGAAGACACCAGGUACAGAAGAGGGAAAUCAGCACAUGCAAUGAAAUCGCCUAGAAUUAUGCACACACCGCACCAAUGUCAAUUUCAUGACUUCCAUAUUGUAGUGUAAUGAUGUACCAUGUGACCAUUGGGGUAACCAUGACAUUCGAGGACGUGGCCUUGUAUUUUUCAAAGCAAGAGUGGGAGCUCCUAGAGAAGUGGCAGAAGGAAAUGUAUCAACAAGUGAUGAAGAGACCAAUUAUGAGACCCUGGAUUCCCUGGGUCACCCAGGAAGUCCCAGGGCCGAAGAAGAGGAAUGCCAUUUAAACAGUGUCCAGGCGCGGGGCUCACGUGCUCCCUCACCAGGGGAGGAAACCACAGCUUUACCGGGUCAAGGAGCCGCCUUGCAAUGUCGCUGAGACAUGGAGACUCCACGUACAAACCCUAAUGUCACAGCAUCUCCCCGGGAAAAGAUGGACCCAGGGCAUGAGGCAGGGGGUCCCCGGGGGCACCUGGAAGUCCCCCCAGGGCCAAGAUCCCAUUCCUGCUUCGUCUGCAGGAAGGUCUUCCCCAUCAAGAGAGACCUGGUAGAGCACAGAAGGAGCCACCCCAGGAGCCAGCCCCGUGAGUCCCCUCAGCACAAGGGCCAGGCCGGAAGGAACGCCGACCUCCCGUGGGCCUGGAGGAGCCCAGGUGAGAAGUAGCACCUCCAGGGCGGCGAGAGCGAGAGGAGCUACCACGGGAAGCGCAGCCUCAUCGCCCACCAGGCUGCUCCCACAGGGCGGCGGCCCUUCCAGUGCCCUGAAUGUGCCAAGACCUUUCGGCGCAAAGCCACUUGAGAGAAACAUCAGUGUUUGUGCAAAGGAGAGAGGCCACUUUCCUGCCAGCGGUGCGGCGAGGGCUUGGCCCAGCAGCACAGGCUCGCUGAGCACGGCGGGGUGCAUGGCGGGGAGAAGCCCUUCUG